AUGCAUCCUCUCUACAUAUUACUGCUCUGGCCUCUUGUUCUCUACACACCAUCACCUUCCGCCGCGGACGAUACUCUCAAGGCAGGCCAGGCGCUCGCCGCUGGUGACAAGCUCGUCUCCAGCAACGGCAAGUUCGCGCUCGGCUUCUUCCGGCCAAGCAUGAUCAGUAAGUCUGGAACAAACAUCAUCUCCCCCAACUGGUAUCUUGGCAUCUGGUUCAACAGGAAGCCGGUCUGUACUCCUGUAUGGGUAGCUAACAGGGAGAAUCCAAUCACUGGCCCCAACCUCAAGCUAACGCAGCUCAAAAUAUCACAAGAUGGCAAUCUUAUCGUCUCACUAAGCAAUGCCACCGAAUCCACCAUCAUAUGGUCAUCCACUCACCUUGUCAAUAAUAUUAAUAGGAGCACUCCCACUAGUGCCCUUCUCUUGAACAGCGGGAACCUUAAGCUUGUGGUCGUACUCGUAGAGAGCCCAUCCAAUGCAACGCUAUGGCAGAGCUUUGACUACCCAACGGAUAUUGUGCUUCCCGGCGCCAAGUUUGGCCGGGACAAGGCCACCGACUUGAAUCGUGAGGCCAUCUCAAAGAAGAGCCUCAUUGAUCCGGGUCUGGGCUCCUACACCAUUAAGCUAGGUGCCAAUGGGAUGGUCCUCACGCGCCGCAACCCCUCGGUGGUGUAUUGGCAUUUUUUCAAUUGGCCAUCCCCAAAAUCAGUAGUGAAAGUCAUACAGCUGAUCAACAUGACACUAGGCAUCAAUCCCCGGACCCAAGGUUUGAUUAACCCCAUUUAUGUCAAUAACAAUGAAGAGGAGUACUAUGCCUUCACUCUGUUGAAUGAGUCAGCUUCUACAUACUUUUCAAUAGACAUCUCUGGUCAGGUCAUGAUAAAUGUUUGGUCGGAAGCCGGGCAGUCUUGGCAAAGUAUAUACGCCAACCCGCUCGAUCCCUGCACUCCCUAUGCUACCUGUGGGCCAUUCACGCUCUGUAGUGGUAAUUUACAUCCAUACUGUGACUGUAUGGAGGGAUUCUCUCACAAGUCACCACAGGAUUGGGACCUCGAUGAUCGAACAGGAGGGUGCAUCAGAAAUACUCCAUUGCAGUGCACUAGCAAGAAGAACACGAUAAAUUCAACGGACAAGUUCCACCCCAUUGCUCGUGUUACAUUGCCCUAUGAACCCCAAAGCAUGGGCAAUGCUACCACUCAGAGCGAAUGCGCAGAAGCUUGUCUCGGCUCCUGCUCCUGCACUGCUUACAGCUAUAACAGUAGCGGGUGCUCUAUCUGGCAUGGGGAAUUGCUUAAUGUAAAUCUGAAUGAUGGCAUCGGAAUCAAUGCUCAGGAUGUACUUUACCUUCGUCUUGCCGCCAAAGAUUUGCCAAGUUUGAGAAACAACAAAAGGAAACUAAACAUUGGAGUCGUUGUUGCUGCCAGCAUUAUUGGUUUUGGAUUACUGAUACUCAUUAUGUUGUUAAUGAUUUGGAGCAAGAGACUCAAGUGGUGUGGUGCAUCAUUACAUGGUACUCAAGGUAGCGGUGGAAUUAUAGCCUUUAGAUACACUGAUUUGGCUCAUGCUACUAAAAAAUUCUCAGAACAGCUAGGAGCGGGUGGUUUUGGUUCUGUAUUCAAGGGGGUGUUAAGUGACUUGACUACUAUAGCAGUGAAAAGGCUUGAUGGAGCCCGCCAGGGUGAGAAGGAAUUUAGAGCUGAGGUGAGUUCACUUGGAGUGAUCCAACACAUCAAUUUAGUCAAAUUGAUUGGUUUCUGCUGCGAAGGUGAUAAGAGACUACUUGUGUAUGAACACAUGUUGAACGGAUCUCUUGAUGCCCAUAUUUUUGAGAGCAGUGCUUUGGCCCUAAAUUGGACCACCAGGUAUCAAAUAGCAAUAGGAGUUGCUAGAGGAUUGUCAUACUUGCAUCAUAGUUGUCACAAACGCAUCAUACACUGUGAUAUUAAGCCACAUAACAUACUUCUAGAUGCCUCAUUUGUUCCGAAAAUUGCGGACUUUGGGAUGGCAGCAGUCGUAGGAAGGGAUUUUAGCCGAGUUUUGACUGCAUUCAGAGGAACCGUUGGGUAUCUUGCCCCGGAGUGGCUUGCCGGAGUUCCUGUUACACCAAAAGUUGAUGUUUAUAGCUUCGGUAUGGUGCUGCUAGAAAUUAUAUCAGGAAGAAGAAAUUCAGCUGAUGUACACAGUGGCACUGGCAGUAGUGGUCAUGUUGAAUACUUUCCUGUGCGAGCCAUCAGAAAGCUUCAUGAGGGAGAUGUGCAGACUUUGAUGGAUCCGCAAUUACAUGGUGACUUCAAUUUAGAAGAGGCUGAAAGAGUUUGCAAAGUUGCAUGUUGGUGCAUCCAAGAUAAUGAGGAUAAUAGGCUUACAAUGAUUGAAGCAGUCCAGAUCCUUGAGGGUCUACAAGAGGUUGGCUUGCCCCCGAUGCCAAGACUACUAGCAGCUAUGACCCAAUCCUCCGACGGCGCUUCAUAG
rnacentral:rRNA from 1 species